UCUUAACCGUUUGAAAAGUGCAACUUAAC
rnacentral:piRNA from 1 species